CCCUGGCCAACCAUAUCUUUCGGAUUCUUGCUCUGCAGCUAAUAGAGCUUCGCCUGGUCCAGGUAUGCAAUAACCUCUGUCCCGACCUGAAAACAUGCAAUCUGCUAUAAACUUUUGUGUUUUUCUUUUCAUGAUUUUCUGGUGCUCUAACUGUCUGGAACAAGUCUUGUUUAACCCAGCGCAAGUCAAAGGUUGUUAAUCUAAUGCCAGAUUGUAUGGUGUUGUAUAUAUACCUACCACAUUGCUUUUUAAUCGCCAAGUUUCCUACCAAAGUUUUAUUCAUAAUCCUUAUAGGUUGCAUUGUUAUCGGCUUAUCGCCACAGCAUAUUUUAACUGACUUAAGAUCAGUUAGUCGUAGCAGGUAAGGCUUGGUUAUUGGUCUCUGCUUCUGAUGCUUUUAAUAAAAAAUGCUUCUUAUUUUCUCCCACUUCAGGUCUUCUACAGACAUGUUGGCUAUAACUCAGCAGUGCAUAUAUAUGGGCAUGUUGAUAGGUACAUAAUUGUAGCUCGAGUAAAAAGAUACAAUGUGUAAAAUUAUCAAAUCUAGUACGUACAUUUGAGUCCUAUAGGAGUUGGAUAAUUUAUAGGUGCUGCAACUAGGCAAAGAAUGUUAUAUUCUGGAAUUGCUUAGUUUGACAUAAUGUCAAGAAAUUUUUUUUCCUUUGUUUCAAUAUACUACUUUCAUGGUACUAUUCCCAAAUAAUAAAUUUACUGUUGAAAAGCACAGCUAUUGCUAUCCAAUCUAUGAAUCGUGAUCUGAUGGUGCAAUGAAUAUAUGACAGUUAUUUUAGGAACAAUAUAUAUACUGGUAGGAGAUUCUUCUAUAUAAGCACCAUAGCUCAAGGUAAUAGACAGUAUUCUGAAAUUUGAAAUGAUUGCCAAAGACAUUAAGUACGGUUAGAUGACUUCUUGUUUAGGCAUUUUGGUUAAUUUUUGUAGAGAGAGAUGCCCUUACAGAUUUGUCCAGCAACUUUAAUACAACCAUCAAACCCUUUGUCUGCUUCCAGUGAUGGUUCUGGCCUUCUGGACCUUGAACUUGAGUCUUAUCAUUGUUACGCAUAUAAUAACUUCAAUUCAAAGCUAAGAAAUCUCUUUGGCAGAAUGUGCUGCUAAGGAACAACACAAGACCAGACUUUUCCUUGCAAUAGGGUAUCUGUAUAGGCAGUAGCUAUUGAUCUCAGGACUGAUAUUGCUAUGACUCUUACCAUUCUUCAAAUUCUUGAAGGAAAACAGUCGCUUGAGAUCAACUGUUGUGCAUGCGCGAGAGCUGGGGUAUAUCUUUCUCUAGUGAAAUUUCUGUAUCUAGAAGCUUAGGUGGAUACCUGAAGAGUCGAUUCACCACCUUUCUUUCCGCGAUUUGUCAUACCUGUAAGUCGAUCCGACUUGAACAGUCAGAGCGACACCCUUAGAUCUAAGGUCAUGCCAUCUCUCUUCUAGGUUCCUGGUUUUCUUGGAAGUCCAUGAUUUCCAGAGGGGAUGUAGAGACCAUUUGUUUGUAAAUGGUUUGAAAUCUGAAGGACCCUUUUCUAGAAGUUCAGUCCCUUGAAUAGGA
rnacentral:lncRNA from 1 species